CGUGAAAGGUUUCGUUUGGAUGGGUGAGUUGUGCAAGUGUGUGAAUAAAUGUUAUAUUUUCAUCUAUACAUCUGUUGAAUGAUGAAGAUGCAUACUUGCCCUUCUUUUUCCCCUUUUGUAAUAUGUUCCCUAGAAUUAGGUGCUGAUUAGAAGUUAUUAAAGUUUUAUUUCUUAGAUUUAGGUACCACCAUGUGGUCAUGGAUUGAAUUCCCACAUAUGGCUCCAAAUGAUAAGUCUCUGAAAAUUCCCAGUCCUCUCCAGUGAUGAAUUCCUGCAAAAUAUGGAGAGAGGCCGUUUAGGUGGGUAUUG
rnacentral:misc_RNA from 1 species